GCCCCCAUCGUCUAGAGGCCUAGGACACCGGGUUUUCAUCUCGGCAACAGGGGUUCGAAUCCCCUUGGGGGUGCCA
rnacentral:tRNA from 1 species